GCAAACCAAACUAAACCAAACUGAAACCAUAAAAAAUCGCAUUUGGUUCGGAUAUGUUUGAGUCAUUUUUUAACAAAACCGCACGAUUCGGUUUGGUUUGCGGUUUAUAUUUUAAAAAUCAAACUAAACCAAACCACGCCGCAUUAUGUUAUAACCCAAACUUCACUUAUCUCACAUACAUCCCAAAAUCCAAACCUAUUAUGUCUUAACCUUACAAAUAUUCUCUUACUCACACUUAGGAUUUUAAUUUUAACCUUCUCGAAUAUCUCCUAGUAGUAUCACACAUUUUUCUCAUCUUCUUUGUCAUACAUGUCUCACCUCUUCUAAUCUAAUCUCUC
rnacentral:lncRNA from 1 species